rnacentral:rRNA from 1 species
AGAGUUUGAUCCUGGCUCAGGAUGAACGCUGGCGGUAUGCUUAACACAUGCAAGUCGAACGGAGUACUUCGGUACUUAGUGGCGGACGGGUGAGUAACGCGUGAGAAUCUGCCUUCAGGUUCGGGACAACCACUGGAAACGGUGGCUAAUACCGAAUGUGCAGCAAUGUGAAAAAUUUAUUGCCUGAAGAUGAGCUCGCGUCUGAUUAGCUAGUAGGUGUGGUAAGAGCGCACCUAGGCGACGAUCAGUAGCUGGUCUGAGAGGAUGAUCAGCCACACUGGGACUGAGACACAGCCCAGACUCCUACGGGAGGCAGCAGUGGGGAAUUUUCCGCAAUGGGCGAAAGCCUGACGGAGCAAGACCGCGUGGGGGAAGAAGGCUCUUGGGUUGUAAACCCCUUUUCUCUGGGAAGAAAGUUGUGAAAGCAACCUGACGGUACCAGAGGAAUCAGCAUCGGCUAACUCCGUGCCAGCAGCCGCGGUAAGACGGAGGAUGCAAGCGUUAUCCGGAAUGAUUGGGCGUAAAGCGUCCGCAGGUGGCAGUUCAAGUCUGCUGUCAAAGACCGGGGCUUAACUUCGGAAAGGCAGUGGAAACUGAACAGCUAGAGUAUGGUAGGGGCAGAGGGAAUUCCUGGUGUAGCGGUGAAAUGCGUAGAGAUCAGGAAGAACAUCGGUGGCGAAGGCGCUCUGCUGGACCAUAACUGACACUCAGGGACGAAAGCUAGGGGAGCGAAUGGGAUUAGAUACCCCAGUAGUCC